UUGUACUCACAUUAUGAAUCCUAAACCCUGAACUCUAAUUAGCGUAAUGCAUUGGCAUGGAACACAAACAGAGUGCCAGACUCGGGGCCUUUAAGGCUAACAGUCGGCCGGGCACGCUAUUACACAGAUGUGUAACAAGUGUAAUAAUGAUGAUUCACGUUCCAUUUAUUUCUUCUUCCAACGUUUGGGGGGUUUUGAGCAAGAGCAAUAAUAUUGAGAUCAGAUUGAAAUGGGGUUUAGGGUUUUCAGUUCUGUGCAGGAUUGAUACAAGAGUUUACAAGGUUCCAGCAUUCAGGUACUUGUUUCUAGUGGUUGUUUUCAAGUCGAUUUAGGUAUGUUUAGGGUUCGAAGAACAACACAUUUGUAAGUUCUCUCGAUAUCUGCUAAGCCAUUUCUACACUCAAUAGCCAACAAGUGGUGGUGAGUUUGAAAUCAAUAAUAAUCUCAAGAGUGUUGAAGGAGGAUAAACAGAAGCAAUGUCAAUCUGCAAGAUUCCAAGUGAUAUUUGGAAGUCAAUCAUCUCAAGGUUACCAGUAAGAACUGUAUUAGCACGCAAAGAGUUGGAAAAACCUAAUUUCUGAUCCCGAUUUCGUGCAAAUGCAUCUUAAUUUCCAUAAACAAAACUCUAAUUGUCUGAUUGGUGUCGUUCAUCAGCAAGAGAACAAUUUUCAUUUUCAGUCAAUUGGUUAUGACUCGUUAGCAUCAUUAUUACUGCCUGAAAUGUUUAUUGAAGAGAGUGAUAAUGUUGUUGAAGAGGAUGAUUCAUCCUCAAUGUUGAGUGAGGAUUCAGCAUUGAGUGGAACUGAUGGUGACGCAGCUCAAAUGGAUUAUCCAUUUAAGGAUUUAGGAUUUACUGUGGAUUUAUUUGGUUCGUGUAAUGGAAUUGUGUGUCUAUGGUUUCAUGACGACAACCGGGGAGAUCAGGAUGAUUUCUUUUGUCUUUGGAACCCAGCAACGAACGAAUAUAAGAGAAUAUGUGAAGCACCAGAAAGAUAUAGUUAUUGCGGCAUCAAAUUAUAUGCUUUUGUUUAUGAUCCCACGGCUGACGAUUAUAAGUUCAUGAUUGGUGUAUGUGUAUCCUCUGAACAAAAAAGAAGUGAAAUGAGCUCUUUAGUCCAUCUCUAUUCGUUAGCAACAGAUUCAUGGAAGAGCUUUCCAACACCUUGUGUUAUCGCUGCAGCUUAAAAAUCUGGGGUACUUUUUAAUGGAGAUCUUCAUUGGGAUGCCUUCCAUCCCGAUAGAUAGAUAGUCUCUUUUGAUAUUAGGAACGAGGAAUUCAAAGCAAUUCAACCACCAUCAGGACCCUUCCAGCUUCUUCUCGUGGGGGUAUUGGAAGAGCGCCUUUGUGUUCUUGUUGAAGAUGAAAAUUAUGCUAUUGACAUAUGGAAAAUGGAAGUUUAUGGAGAUCCGGGAUCCUGGACUAAAUGUUAUACCAUUACCCAUAAGAUAAUAACCAGUAGAUGUAGUCUUCAUUGCACUUUAAUGAAUUUUAUGUGGUCAUUUGAAAAUGGUGUUAUGCUAUUCAAGGAGUACGGUCGCCUAUGUUUGUAUGACCCAGAGCAUGGGAGUGCUGCUGAAUUUAAUCCGAACUAUAUGUCGGCAGAGAAUUAUUCAGAAAGCUUAGUUUCAUUAAACUCUGGUAUCCAUGUGGGCGGAAGAACGGCAAAUAGUUCAUACACGGAGCUUCAGAUUCUUGAGAAUAAAAACUCAGUUCUUGAAGCACGUAACAUCCAAUUGGUUGCUAGUAAUGCUGAGCUACAGAAAAAGCUUCAUGAGUCUCAAGUAGCAUAUCAACAUCUAGAAGAACGUGUUAAUGCUCAGGUUUGUAUACUGCAGAAACAAGUAGUGGGGAUUGAAAAAGACGAAGAAGAAGAAACUGCUAUGACCAAGAGAAACGGUCGGAAGAGGAAGGUGCAAUGGCAUUAUAAUACAAGGAAGGCCUAAAAACCGGUUGCAGCAAGUCCGCGAGAAAGCACAGUUUUCGAAGAUGAGAGUCUCACCGUGCUGCAAAGAGCUGAGAAAGAGCAAGGUAAACUUGUUCAAUUAUGGGCUGGUGGUAGUCAGGAGCCUUACCAAAUCAAAGACGGAUCUAAGACUCACUCCACUUCCAAGGACUCUUACCAAACGAUGACCGUAAAAAGGCUGCGCGGCCUUCUAAAAGAAAGAGGUUUGAUGGUGAAAGGAAAGAAGGAUGAGCUGAUUGCACGUCUCACAGGCAUUUGAGAACCUUCCAGAACAUAGCUUUUGAAAAUAGAGCACCUUGUGAGAGAGCUAAUUCAAGAUCGGGUCUGUGCCUUAUAUGGCACUUGAGAGAAAAUGCAGGUGCAUUAUGUGGUUCAUCACUUGUAUCUCAAAAUGUGUCCAAUUUGGAGCAUUCUUUUCAACUGAUGAAAACUUUAGUUGUGGAAACAUAUUAUCUGCUACAUUCAAUAUAAGGAAUUAUCCAAAGCUACUGCGCCUCCAAGACGCAUGCCAUUUCAGCUGUACUUUAUUUUUUUUUGCGAUCCCUAGGAAUGUAUUACGGUAUAAAAAAUCGAAUCUAUGAUAUUUUAGAAAGUAGGCUUGUAUUACAAGGGAACUUAGCAAUAAUUCUCGCAAUUCUGCUGAAACAACAAGAUUGGUUUCAGCUCUGAUUUUUUCAAUAUGCAACUCCAUAUUAGACUGAAGCAAGUGGUCAAAAUUUGUA